rnacentral:rRNA from 1 species
ACGGGUAGCCGGCCUGAGAGGGUGGACGGCCACAUUGGGACUGAGAUACGGCCCAGACUCCUACGGGAGGCAGCAGUGGGGAAUCUUCCGCAAUGGACGAAAGUCUGACGGAGCAACGCCGCGUGAGUGAUGAAGGUCUUCGGAUUGUAAAGCUCUGUUGUAAGGGAAGAAAUAUUAGGAUAGGAAAUGAUCCUAAUUUGACGGUACCUUAUUAGAAAGCCACGGCUAACUAUGUGCCAGCAGCCGCGGUAAUACAUAGGUGGCAAGCGUUAUCCGGAUUUAUUGGGCGUACAGGGUGCGUAGGUGGUUUGGCAAGUUUGAGGUUAAAUCCCGGAGCUUAACUCCGGUUCGCCUUGAAAACUGCCUUACUAGAAUACAAGAGAGGUAGAUGGAAUUCCAUGUGUAGCGGUGAAAUGCGUAGAUAUAUGGAGGAACACCAGCGGCGUAGGCGGUCUACUGGCUUGUUAUUGACACUGAGGCACGAAAGCGUGGGGAGCAAAUAGGAUUAGAUACCCUAGUAGUCCACGCCGUAAACGUUGAAUACUAGGUGUCGGCAAUUAUGUCGGUGCCGCAGCUAACGCAUUAAGUAUUCCGCCUGAGUAGUAUGCUCGCAAGAGUGAAACUUAAAGGAAUUGACGGGGACCCGAACAAGUGGUGGAGCAUGUGGUUUAAUUCGAAGCAACGCGAAGAACCUUACCAGGGCUUGACAUCCAGUGCAAAGCUAUAGAGAUAUAGUGGAGGCUAACAUUGAGACAGGUGGUGCAUGGUUGUCGUCAGCUCGUGCCGUGAGGUGUUGGGUUAAGUCCCGCAACGAGCGCAACCCUUGUCUUAUGUUGCCAGCACGUAAUGGUGGGGACUCGUAAGAGACUGCCGGGGUCAACUCGGAGGAAGG